rnacentral:rRNA from 1 species
CCCUUAGAUGUCCUGGGCCGCACGCGCGCUACACUGAGUGUCUGAGAUACGAGUCUGCCUGGUCCGGCAAGGUCUAGGUAAUCGCUAAAAGACACAUCAUGCUUGGGAUAGAUUAUUGCAAAUAUUAAUCUUGAACGAGGAAUUCCUAGUAAGCGCAAGUCAACAGCUUGCGUUGAUCACGUCCCUGCCCUUUGUACACACCGCCCGUCGCUACUACUGAUUGGAUGUUUAAGCGAGGUUCUCGAACUGCUAGCGACUUAGCUUCGGUGAGGUCGCAGUGUGGGAAGUGAACCUAGCUUUGGUGUCUAGAGGAAGUAAAAGUCGUAACA